rnacentral:rRNA from 1 species
CCUACGGGCGGCAGCAGUCGAGAAUCAUUCACAAUGGGGGAAACCCUGAUGGUGCGACGCCGCGUGGGGGAAUGAAGGUCUUCGGAUUGUAAACCCCUGUCAUGUGGGAGCAAAUUAAAAAGAUAGUACCACAAGAGGAAGAGACGGCUAACUCUGUGCCAGCAGCCGCGGUAAUACAGAGGUCUCAAGCGUUGUUCGGAAUCACUGGGCGUAAAGCGUGCGUAGGCUGUUUCGUAAGGCGUGUGUGAAAGGCGCGGGCUCAACCCGCGGACGGCACAUGAUACUGCGAGACUAGAGUAAGGGAGGGGGAACCGGAAUUCUCGGUGUAGCAGUGAAAUGCGUAGAUAUCGAGAGGAACACUCGUGGCGAAGGCGGGUUCCUGGACAUUAACUGACGCUGAGGCACGAAGGCCAGGGGAGCGAAAGGGAUUAGAUACCCUGGUAGUC